UUGAGCCUAGUUAGUCCAUGAUUGGGCAAUAUUUAUCAAAUACAAACGAAAAUGCUAUAGUAUCGAUUUCCUAAAUUUUUUUGGAACUAAACAAGGCCUAAAUAACAACCCAAACCUGACAAUCUGCAAAUACGUUAAGUAACAGACCAAAUCAACAAUAUACAACUAGCGAAUUAAAUCAGUAACCAAUAGUUAGGUAAAGCAAUUAAGUCAUGCAACAAACUAACAACCCAUAAGUUCAUCAUGCAACUACUACUCAUCCAAUCUCCAUAAGCAAUUGCUUACGGGCCAGUCACGGGGUGUCGGGGACGGUAAACUCUUUCUAACCAUCUUAAGGAAAAGCAUGUUUAUGCACAGUUGUGAAAAAAUAGCAAACCCUAAUAUAUGUGGAAAAUCUUAAUCUUGAUCUAAUGAGAUUCUUAUAAAAAUCUCCUAACAUCCCAAC
rnacentral:lncRNA from 1 species